rnacentral:rRNA from 1 species
UGGGGAAUAUUGGACAAUGGGCGAAAGCCUGAUCCAGCCAUGCCGCGUGUGUGAAGAAUGCCUUUUGGUUGUAAAGCACUUUAAGCGAGGAGGAGGCUACUUGGAUUAAUACUCUAGGAUAGUGGACGUUACUCGCAGAAUAAGCACCGGCUAACUCUGUGCCAGCAGCCGCGGUAAUACAGAGGGUGCGAGCGUUAAUCGGAUUUACUGGGCGUAAAGCGUGCGUAGGCGGCUUCUUAAGUCGGAUGUGAAAUCCCUGAGCUUAACUUAGGAAUUGCAUUCGAUACUGGGAAGCUAGAGUAUGGGAGAGGAUGGUAGAAUUCCAGGUGUAGCGGUGAAAUGCGUAGAGAUCUGGAGGAAUACCGAUGGCGAAGGCAGCCAUCUGGCCUAAUACUGACGCUGAGGUACGAAAGCAUGGGGAGCAAACAGG